UCGAAACCUGCCCAGCAGAACGACCCGUGAACAUGUUCAUAAAAUGAGGGGUCCAGAGCGGGCUUCUGCCGGCACUGGCUCUUCACAAGGCCUUGAUCGGGGGAUAAAGGCGUGUAGGCCUUGCCUUCCCCUGACAUGCCUCGAUCUUGGCCCCUAACAAAACCCCGGCGCGGAAAGCGCCAAGGAAUCAGUAUAUAAAAAGAUCGGCCGCCCCGAUUGCCCCAGAAAUGGUGCGCAAAAGGGAUGUGUCGUGAUUUGAGAAUCUAAACGACUCUCGGCAACGGAUAUCUCGGCUCUCGCAUCGAUGAAGAACGCAGCGAAAUGCGAUACUUGGUGUGAAUUGCAGGAUCCCGCGAACCAUCGAGUUUUUGAACGCAAGUUGCGCCCGAAGCCUUUUUGGCCGAGGGCACGUCUGCCUGGGUGUCACUCAUCCGUCGCCCCAACCCCUCCUUAUUUUAAGGAAGGGGUGUGAAUCGGGCGGAAUAUGGCCUCCCGUUUGCUGUAUUCGCAUGCGGUUGGCCCAAAUUUCCGGUCCCCGGCAUCAACGCCACGGCAAUCGGUGGUUGUGUGACCCUCGCUUAAUGCUGUGAGCGAUGCGGUGCCGAUGUGACCUACGAGGCCCCAAAGUGCAUCGUAAGAUGCGCUCGUAAUGCGACC
rnacentral:rRNA from 1 species